rnacentral:lncRNA from 1 species
UGAUGAGUGCAGACAGAACCAGAUAAUUAGAGGAUCUGAGCAGUUUGACUCUAAUCGAGGAUGGUUAGAGGCACUUUCCCCAACUUUCAGGAUGUAUAGAACCCGCCAAGUGGUAGACACGUGUGCUUGUGCUAGGGUAUCCUUGGAAAAUAGGCCAGUUCACUAAAACCAGUCCACCCAUAAGCCAAGUCAGCUAAUUAGCCAUUUACCCAAAAUUAGUGUUUGUCAAGACAUUUCAUAUGUGAUGCAAUGGUUUCCAUAGUUUUCAGUGUGUUUUCUCCCUAAGGUUACUGAUGACUGGUUUAUAUGAUGUGCACUUCUGCCUCAGGCUGGGCAAAAUAACUGGGAAGUGACAAGCAACUUGAAGGUUGAAGCGGGAACUGCUUUAUUGCGUGGAAACUCAGCGGGAACUGAGUGGGAACUCAAGGUAGCAGGAGCCGCUUUAUUGCGGGACCGCAGAGGUAUAUAUACCUAACUGAUUACACACAGCUUGACUCAAUUAGCAUCAUCUAGAUACAGCAGUCAACCAAUAAGGAAUCCCCACCAUCUAAAUGGCUCCGCGUCGUUGCCUCACAAACCACUCCUCCUGGCAAACUGCCAGGCGCCAUCUUGACUUGAUUUGUGGUCCCCAACACACUUCUCCUCUCUUUUUUUUCUUUCUUCUUUUCAUUCCACCUCCCUCUUUACUUUCCUUCUUCUAGCCCUCUCUCUGACUUUCCUUCCUGCCCUCUCUUCUGCCUUUGCUUCAAAUAUAUUUUUGCCCACUCCUCCAAGAUGGUCCACUUCCCCACCUUCAUCUUCCUCUCCUCUCCUCAUCUCCUGGAGUCCAAGACUAGAGGUUGGGUCUUGAGAGGUGAACUAAGAAAUAGUGCUGGAUAGAGAAAACAGGUGGAGCAAGUCUAAACUAGAGUUGGGUGGAGGGAGGGCUAUUGGGUGUGGAAGACCAGGAGUCAGACACUCCAGGCUAAAGACCUAGGGAGGAGGAGCAAGAUUGUCAACUGGAAAUCAAACUGGGGGUCCAGAAUGGGACCAGAGACUGGAUGAGGGAGAACAGUAAGUAAGAAGAUGAUUACAGUUAUGUUGUAGCUCCAUUGUGCAUUAACUAUCUUAGAAUUUUCCAUUUCUCUAAAAUUGCAGUAUGUGCCUUUUGGAGAAAUCUGUGCAGUGUUGAAUUUGCAUAAAUCUAGAGUUGCUCAACUCAGGGUGUGUGUUUUGUUUAUGAUUCAUCAAAUCCCCCCCCCCUUUUUUAGUUUCUCCUUCCUGCUGCUUUGUCUUCU